rnacentral:rRNA from 1 species
GUUAUAGGAUCAAGUGACUAAGUGCAUGCGGCGGAUGCCUUGGCGAUCACAGGCGAAGAAAGACGCGGCAGCCUGCGAAAAGCUGCGGGGAGCUGGCAAACGAGCUUUGAUCCGCAGAUAUCUGAAUGGGGGAACCCACACCGCAAGGUGUAUCCGUAGCUGAAUACAUAGGUUACGGAGGCGAACGAGGAGAACUGAAACAUCUAAGUAUCCUCAGGAAAAGAAAUCAACCGAGAUUCCGGCAGUAGCGGCGAGCGAACCCGGAGGAGCCCAGCUUUUGAUAGUACGAACUUUAGCCGAAAGGACCUGGAAAGGCCUGCUAUAGUGGGUGAUAGCCCCGUAGGCGAAAGAGUUGGUACGGUACUAAGGAAGCGAGAAGUAGAGCGGGACACGUGGAAUCCUGUUCGAAGACGGGGGGACCAUCCUCCAAGGCUAAAUACUCGUGAUCGACCGAUAGUGAACCAGUACCGUGAGGGAAAGGCGAAAAGAACCCCGGGAGGGGAGUGAAAUAGAACCUGAAACCGCAUGCAUACAAACAGUAGGAGCCUUUACGGAGGUGACUGCGUACCUUUUGCAUAAUGGGUCAGCGACUUACAUUCUGUGGCGAGCUUAACCGAAUAGGGGAGGCGCAGCGAAAGCGAGUUCGAAAUGAGCGUUCAGUCGCAGGGUGUAGACCCGAAACCAGAUGAGCUAUCCAUGGCCAGGUUGAAGGUGUGGUAACACACACUGGAGGACCGAACCGACUAGUGUUGCAAAAUUAGCGGAUGAGCUGUGGAUAGGGGUGAAAGGCCAAACAAAUCUGGAGAUAGCUGGUUCUCCCCGAAAACUAUUGAGGUAGUGCCUCGUGUGUCGCUCCAGGGGGUAGAGCACUGUUUUGGCUAGGGGGACAUGGAGUCUUACCAAACCAAGGCAAACUCCGAAUACCUGGAAGCGUAAGCACGGGAGACAGAGCACCGGGUGCUAACGUCCGGACUCAAAAGGGAAACAACCCAGACCGCCGGCUAAGGUCCCAAAUAACAGCUAAGUGGAAAACGAAGUGGAAAGGCCGUGACAACCAGGAAGUUGGCUUAGAAGCAGCCAUCCUUCAAAGAAAGCGUAAUAGCUCACUGGUCGAGUCCUUCUGCGCGGAAGAUGUAACGGGGCUAAGCUGUUAACCGAAGCCGCGGAUGCGCUGGUUAUCCAGUGCGUGGUAGGGGAGCGUUCUGUAAGUCUGCGAAGGCGGUUCGAGAGGACUGCUGGAGAUAUCAGAAGUGCGAAUGCUGACAUGAGUAACGUUAAAGCAGGUGAAAAGCCUGCUCGCCGUAAGCCCAAGGAUUCCUGCUCUACGUUCAUCGGAGCAGGGUGAGUCGGCUCCUAAGGUCAGGCCGAAAGGCGUAGCCGAUGGGAAUCAGGUUAAUAUUCCUGAACCUGCGUCAGAUGCGAUGGGGGGACGGAGCAUGGAAGAUCAUCCGGGUGUUGGAAGUCCCGGUUGUUUAGCGUAGGAGGUCUGCAGGCAAAUCCGCAGACGCAUCUCCAAGGCAAAGACACGUGCCGCCACGGCGGCGAAGUGAUCGGAAGUGCUUCCAAGAAAAGCCUCUAAGCCCCAGUCUGACGCGGACCGUACCGCAAACCGACACUGGUGGGCGAGCUGAAUAUGCUCAGGCGCUUGAGAGAACUCGGGAGAAGGAACUCGGCAAAUUGACACCGUAACUUCGGAAGAAGGUGUGCCGUAGUACCGUGAGAGGAGAGACACCUUGAGCGGGAAACGGUCUCAGAGAAUAGGUGGCUGCGACUGUUUAUUAAAAACACAGCACUCUGCAAAGUCGAAAGACGACGUAUAGGGUGUGAUGCCUGCCCGGUGCUGGAAGAUUAAUUGAUGGGGUGAGAGCCCUUGAUCGAAGUCCCAGUAAACGGCGGCCGUAACUAUAACGGUCCUAAGGUAGCGAAAUUCCUUGUCGGGUAAGUUCCGACCUGCACGAAUGGCAUAACGAUGGCCACACUGUCUCCUCCCGAGACUCAGUGAAGUUGAAAUGUUUGUGAUGAUGCAAUCUACCCGCGGCUAGACNCUAAGCCCCAGUCUGACGCGGACCGUACCGCAAACCGACACUGGUGGGCGAGCUGAAUAUGCUCAGGCGCUUGAGAGAACUCGGGAGAAGGAACUCGGCAAAUUGACACCGUAACUUCGGAAGAAGGUGUGCCGUAGUACCGUGAGAGGAGAGACACCUUGAGCGGGAAACGGUCUCAGAGAAUAGGUGGCUGCGACUGUUUAUUAAAAACACAGCACUCUGCAAAGUCGAAAGACGACGUAUAGGGUGUGAUGCCUGCCCGGUGCUGGAAGAUUAAUUGAUGGGGUGAGAGCCCUUGAUCGAAGUCCCAGUAAACGGCGGCCGUAACUAUAACGGUCCUAAGGUAGCGAAAUUCCUUGUCGGGUAAGUUCCGACCUGCACGAAUGGCAUAACGAUGGCCACACUGUCUCCUCCCGAGACUCAGUGAAGUUGAAAUGUUUGUGAUGAUGCAAUCUACCCGCGGCUAGACGGAAAGACCCCAUGAACCUUUACUGCAGCUUUGCAUUGAACUGUGAACCGAUUUGUGUAGGAUAGGUGGGAGGCAGAGAAGAGGCCACGCCAGUGGCCUUGGAGCCGACCUUGAAAUACCACCCUGAUUUGUUUGCGGUUCUAACCACGGACAGUGAUCCUGUCUUGGGACCGUGCAUGGUAGGCAGUUUGACUGGGGCGGUCUCCUCCUAAAGGGUAACGGAGGAGUACGAAGGUACGCUAGGUACGGUCGGAAAUCGUGCUGAUAGUGCAAUGGCAAAAGCGUGCUUGACUGCGAGAGCAACAACUCGAGCAGAUGCGAAAGCAGGUCAUAGUGAUCCGGUGGCUCUGAAUGGAAGGGCCAUCGCUCAACGGAUAAAAGGUACUCUGGGGAUAACAGGCUGAUACCGCCCAAGAGUUCAUAUCGACGGCGGUGUUUGGCACCUCGAUGUCGGCUCAUCUCAUCCUGGGGCUGUAGUCGGUCCCAAGGGUAUGGCUGUUCGCCAUUUAAAGAGGUACGUGAGCUGGGUUUAAAACGUCGUGAGACAGUUUGGUCCCUAUCUGCCGUGGGCGUUGGAAGAUUGACGGGGGCUGCUCCUAGUACGAGAGGACCGGAGUGGACGCACCUCUGGUGUACCGGUUGUCACGCCAGUGGCAUUGCCGGGUAGCUAAGUGCGGAAGAGAUAACCGCUGAAAGCAUCUAAGCGGGAAACUUGCCUGAAGAUGAGUCUUCCCGGAGGUUGAACCUCCCUCAAGAGUCGUCCGAGACCAGGACGUCGAUAGGUCAGGUGUGUAAGCGCUGUAAGGCGUUAAGCUAACUGAUACUAAUUGCUCGUGAGGCUUGAUCCUAUAACC